UACGUAGGGGGCAAGCGUUGUCCGGAAUCAUUGGGCGUAAAGAGAGUGUAGGUGGCUCGGUAAGUCCGCUGUGAAAGUCCAGGGCUCAACCCUGGAAAGCCGGUGGAAACUGUCGAGCUAGAGUCCGGAAGAGGCGAGUGGAAUUCCUGGUGUAGCGGUGAAAUGCGCAGAUAUCAGGAGGAACACCAAUGGCGAAGGCAGCUCGCUGGGACGGUACUGACACUGAGACGCGAAAGCGUGGGGAGCAAACAGG
rnacentral:rRNA from 1 species